CACGUAGGGCGCGAGAGUUGUCCGGAAUUAUUGGGCGUAAAGAGCUCGUAGGCGGCCUGUUGCGUCCGCUGUGAAAGCCCGGGGCUUAACCCCGGGUCGGCAGUGGAUACGGGCAGGCUAGAGGUAGGUAGGGGAGAAUGGAAUUCCCGGUGUAGCGGUGAAAUGCGCAGAUAUCGGGAGGAACACCGGUGGCGAAGGCGGUUCUCUGGGCCUUACCUGACGCUGAGGAGCGAAAGCGUGGGGAGCAAACAGG
rnacentral:rRNA from 1 species